GGUGUGGCUCAGUGGUAGAGCGCUUGCCUGGCAGGCAUGAGGUCCUGGGUUCAAUCCCCAGCCCA
rnacentral:tRNA from 1 species